rnacentral:lncRNA from 1 species
CUGAUCAGUCUCGCAAGGAACUUCCUUCUUGAUCAAGUGGUUUGUUCCGUUGUAAGUGAGGAUGGCAUGGACCUUCUUGGUACUGUAUCCGCAGAUAUCAGGUCCAAACAUAAUGCUGCAGCCAACCACAACCGUAUAUCAACUAAAAUGUCGAGACAAAUCCAAGUCAACUCGAUAACAUGCAGUAAGAUUGAUCAAUAAUCUAAACCUGUAUGGAGUGUCACCGCCAAAUUUGGUCUGGUCAACAUCACCACUGAGCAACUUCAUGUAGCCACCACCGCAGUCAAGCUUCUGUUCAUGCUUGACAGAGAACUGGAACACCAGAGUUUUGUCCUUGUUGCUGAGUUCAGGGUACUCAGCUGAAAUAGCAUAGAAUCUGUAGUCUUCACUUGUCUGGAUACCUGCAUUAUAAAAUAAUGGAAUAUCCGAAUGUAAGAAUUCAAGAUCAAUGAAAAGUAAUACAUAUACCUGACGAGGAAUAUAACAUACCCUUGUCAUCAGCGUCUCCAUUCCAUUUUCCGGAGGUGUAAUUCCACUCUCCAGCCGUGUUCUCAUCCUUCUUCCAAUCAGAUUUAACCCAUCGUUUUCCCCACCCAUCUUUCAAUUCAAAAUCCAUAACCAAAACGGAUUAGAUCAGAUAAGAGUAUAAUUCUAAUACAAUCAGAUCCCGCGAUUUCAAAAAUCCGCCGGCAAUGGCGAUCUACUACAGAACUCCGAUGCAAUCACAUCAAAACAACCAAGCCUAAACGAUCCUUCCUCAGACAUACUAAUUCUUAAUGACAUACAAUGCAACCACGCAAUUCUAAGCUGAGAAAUGAUCAGAAAACACAGCACAAAACAACAUGAUGAUAAAAUGGCGAUCCGCGAAAGAAAUGACGAUACCUUCGAACUUCUCUUCGAAGAAGACAGUGGCGGAGGCGACUGCGAGGAGCGAGAACAGAAUCAGACAGAGCGAAUUAGGGUUCGCCAUGGCCGGAGCUGCGGAGUAAUCAAUCACGAACGAGAGUGCAGUUUGGACUGAAGUGAGUGAGAGAGAUAGCUGGAGCAUUUUAUAUGAGAUCGCAUAUUCGUUUCAACGGCUCUGACGGCGAUGGCUUCACAUACGCCGUCAACGCUCGACGUGGAUGACGGCAGAAUAAAGUAGCCAUUAGGGAGACGCCAUGUCGUCAACGUUUGUCAUUUCUGUUGACGUGGCAAAGGAGGAGUGGGUGUUGAUACCAAAUGAGCGUUCUUUGGCAGCUUGGGCCAGGGCUGUUGAUGGUCUCCACGUGGCGGAUUUUAAGUGGGGGAUAUGGGAUAGAAUUAAGUCAAGAUUAGGAGGUACAUUAAUUACCUUUAUGAUUUGGCGUUUCUCCAAAAUAAACUGAUCUUUAAUGACUCGAAUUAGUGUAAAUAGUGUUUGCAUAGUCAUUACUACGGUUUGAAGGUGUUUUGUGAGGUGCGACGAGCAAGUUCGUAAUCGAUGAUCCAAUCUUCUUCUUUCUAACUUACCAAUCUUGCAAAGAGGCUUAAGAACAAUGAUUUGCGGGAUCAACUCCACUAAUCUACCAAACUUUGUAGCAUCCAUGGAUUAUUUAUAAACGGCUUAAUUUCGAUCAUCAAAUCGUUUAAAAAACUCUUCAAUACAUUCAUAUCUCGUAGAUUCAUAAACGGGAAUAAUACGAUAUGCAACAAUUUUUCUCAUCGAUUCAUAAACCAUUCCACUGAGAAAUCAACAACUAAUCCCGCUACGGACUACAAGACAUGGUUCCAAAUUCUAAAUCAAAGCUCAGAGUAAAACCAAGUGACCACUGAAUCAUAUCAUCCACCGUAGGUAAAAACAGAAAAGAGGUGGGAAAAUGUAUAUUAAGCAGCAACGAGUGAAAUCACUUCUUUCUGGCUUGGCUUAGCUUCCUACUAACUCCAUCUCUCUUCCUAUAGCUCGUCCUGCAAAAAGGUGGUGAAAUGUAUGUUAUUAAAGCACGCAACCAACAGUUGUCGACUUCCACGAACUGAACGGUCAGUCCGGUUUGGUUCUAGAAUCGGGGAAAAGAAGUGUUUCGACUGGAAGAGUAUAACUUACAUGUACUCCCUCGUCAUCUGUUUCCUCCCCUUUGAGUUCCGAGUCAUCUUCGGCGUCGUCUUCUGCAGAGUCGUCGUCGUCGUCAUCAUCGGCCUGUGGGGAAAAAGAGAACAGAAACGAGUGGUGAGCUACCGUUCUUAAGAAGCCAAAGGUUUUUUUCAUUAGAGGUGAUACACUUACGUCGGUGUCAGCUGGAUCGCUCUUGGAUUCCUGAUGGCAUAAGGAUUCAAAGAUAUUAGACAAGAGAUUUAAGGAAUCAGAGGAUAAGAAAGAAUUAACUGUUAUGUAAACGAAGCAUAUAUACCUCCUCUUCUCUCUUCUUCUCAGCUUCAUCAAAUGCUGCCUUCUCAGCCUGUUAAUCCCAAACACAGAGUCGAUGAUUAACGUUUGUAAUAAACAGUUUUUUCAAGAGGGAUGGAGCUAAUUGGCGAUGAGAGAAAACUUACAUCUUUGUUCUUUGCCCAUGUUUCUUCGGCGAACUUCUUGGCGUACUCAGGAUCGUCGCAGAUCAAGACGUUGUCGAACAAGGUCCCGGAUUUCACCUGCCACAACUCAAUGCCGACGUACUUGAGGUUGGGGAAGACGUAGAUCUCGGGAUCGUCCUUGAACUCUGCAAAAGAACGAAAUGUUGGGCUCAUUACUAUCAUUUGUGUUUGGGUAAAAAUCAGUGUCUGGUAAAUCUUUUAAAUAAUUAACAAGGGGAGCGGUAAAAGGAAUAGAAGACAAACCUGGGUUGUCGAUCAUUGGAGCCUUCCACUUGCCCUUGUAGGCGGGGGUCUUAAUUUUCUGUUAUAAGUGGGUAAAUUAGGUACAAAAAGAAACAUGAAUUCGCGGUCAAGAUCUGUCUACUAAAUGAUCGAAUCCACAAACCUUUGCAGUCCAUGGACCUUUGUACUCAGGGUUGGGCAUGGUGGGGGCAGUCCACUCACCAUCUUCCUCAUCAUCCCAAUCUUCAGGCUACAGUUGGCAGACAGACAAAUCAAUCUCUAACCGGGAAUUGUUAAAACCGACUCAAACACAGAGAAUUUGUAAUAAGUUACCUUCUUGGCUUCAGGAUCGGGAAUCUCCUUAGGGAUGUCAUCAUAUCCCUACACAAGCAGACCAACGUAGUCACUUUCUAGCAACAAGUAACUGGGGAUUUGGUACGUAUAAAGAUUCACAUAUGACAUGCUUGAUGCUUUAUAGGUAGUUAGUAAGUUACCUCUGGCUUGAUGUCCUCAGGGUCAGCAAUGUACUCCUUGUCAUCCCAAUCCUCGGGCUGCAAUAAAGUCAGUCAGUCAGAUUUUCAUCGACACCGAAAUUUGAUUGAUCAACCAAUACAUUAUGCGAAGAAAUAGCAUACCUUCUUAGCUUCUGGGUCCUUGAUCUUCUUUGGCGGGAGAAGGCUCCAGUCAGUGUACAGACUGCCAGUUUGCUUCUCGACGUUGUCAAUAAGGAUACUGUAAGUGGCAUCCGGGCGGAUGAUGAAUGUGUAAACAUGAGAGAGCUGGUCAGUCUCACAAGGAACUUCCUUCUUGAUCAAGUGGUUUGUUCCGUUGUAGGUGAGAAUGGCAUGAACUUUCUUGGUGCUGUACCCACAGAUAUCAGGUCCAAACAUAAUACUGCAGCCAGCCAUGGAAAGCGAAUCAGAAAUGUGGACAUAAAACAAGUCAACCUAUGAAAAGGGUAGGUAUCAGCUGCCAAAUAAUUACCUGUAUGGAGUGUCACCGCCAAACUUGGUCUGGUCAACAUCACCACUGAGCAAUUUCAUGUAGCCACCACCACAGUCAAGCUUCUGCUCAUGCUUGACAGAGAACUGGAAGACAAGAGUCUUGUCCUUGUUGCUGAGUUCAGGGUACUCAGCUGAAAUAGCAUAGAAUCUG